UCCCCCAGCACCAGGCUUACCAGCCAGCUGGGGGAAGGGCUCUCACGGAAAAGGCAGCCUUCAAGGUUAUGAUACAACCACGCAAGGGGGUGGUAAUGUGGACUUGUUGGGGAACCGCGCGGGUGGGUGGAGCCAGAGCGCCUUGGGAUUCUGACGCGUCUGAGUAGGCAUCUGCAGGUUCCCGGCUGGAUGACCUUGAGCAAGUUUACCUGCUCUGCUCUGUCGGAUGGAGGAUUAAAUGAGAUCAUGGAACGUUAUUCAGCCAGAAAAAGGGAUGAAGUCCUGGUGCAAGUUACAACACCUGUGAACUUUGAAAACUAACUGGAAGAAGCCGGACACAAAAGGUCACAUACUGUACGAUACCACGUAUAUGAAAUGUUCGGAAUGGAUUGCCCUUUCGUGGCAUAUUUAAAGAGUCUCCGAGGUAAAUCUCAGUGAAACAAUGGCCACACAGUCCAUCAGGAGCGAAGCCAGGAGCAAGCUUGCAGAGAGGAAGCAAGCAUGUGGUUAUUUCCUUUUCUGGCAGCUGUGACGGCAUGAAGAAACAAAAAGCCAGUAAACUGAGUCAGGGCUUAUGGCUUAUGGCAGCAUAUUUUAAAGAUAAUUUAAGAUUGAAGGCUUUGUCUGAACUGUCACCUCUUCCCUUCUAACAUACCCACAGACAAACACAAACACAUGCCAACAACAGUGAGGAAUUAUUUACAGGGUUCUCUCUCAGCUGAGCU